UACGUAGGGGGCAAGCGUUGUCCGGAUUUAUUGGGCGUAAAGAGCUCGUAGGCGGUCUGUCGCGUCUGCUGUGAAAACCCGAGGCUCAACCUCGGGCCUGCAGUGGGUACGGGCAGACUAGAGUGCGGUAGGGGAGAUUGGAAUUCCUGGUGUAGCGGUGGAAUGCGCAGAUAUCAGGAGGAACACCGAUGGCGAAGGCAGAUCUCUGGGCCGUAACUGACGCUGAGGAGCGAAAGCGUGGGGAGCGAACAGG
rnacentral:rRNA from 1 species